AUCCAUUACAUGGUUGGGCAGCAGCUAAGACUAGAAUGAUAUAGAGAAGAUUAGCAUGGGCCCUGUGCAAGCCCUUUACCAUGACGAAAAAGAAAUUAAUACAUUUU